rnacentral:lncRNA from 1 species
UCGCCUAAUUAUAUUUCUAUGGGUGGGUUUGGACAAUUCUUAACUUACGUACACGUUCGAACUUGCUGAAGGUUUAUGAAGGCUUCGCGUUCUUUGGAACCCUCGACACACGUAUAAACUGAUUGGCUGUUGAAUGAUGUCGCUUGUCUACUAGCUAGGAGGGGGUUGAAUCUUCAGUUUUUUUAUUGGUAAAUGUUUUUUCAUGGUUUUCAAGUCAAUUCAAUGCUAUAUAGGUCGAUGCCUUUCCAGUUUAAUGAAGGAAAAAUUGAAAACUCUCCCGUCAUUUUUAAUAUAUUUUUCUAGAAGUGAGACAAAUGUAUGCUUAUUGCCUUACGUCUCGGGAGAUAUUUUGCUGUUAACCUCGAGGGCAGUAAAUUAAGAGGGUGUUUAGUAACGUGGUUAAUCUCACCCGCAGCCACACCAAAUGUCGUUUGAUUAAAAAGAAAAAAUUGUUUUUUUGAUGGUAGGACCCAUCAAAAUGUCAGCCGAACCGC